rnacentral:rRNA from 1 species
GACGAACGCUGGCGGCGUGCUUAACACAUGCAAGUCGAACGGAAAGGCCCUGCUUUUGUGGGGUGCUCGAGUGGCGAACGGGUGAGUAACACGUGAGUAACCUGCCCUUUACUUUGGGAUAACUUCAGGAAACUGGGGCUAAUACCGGAUAGGAGCUCCUGCUGCAUGGUGGGGGUUGGAAAGUUUCGGCGGUUGGGGAUGGACUCGCGGCUUAUCAGCUUGUUGGUGGGGUAGUGGCUUACCAAGGCUUUGACGGGUAGCCGGCCUGAGAGGGUGACCGGCCACAUUGGGACUGAGAUACGGCCCAGACUCCUACGGGAGGCAGAAGUGGGGAAUAUUGCACAAUGGGCGGAAGCCUGAUGCAGCAACGCCGCGUGCGGGAUGACGGCCUUCGGGUUGUAAACCGCUUUCGCCUGUGACGAAGCGUGAGUGACGGUAAUGGGUAAAGAAGCACCGGCUAACUACGUG